AUAGCCUUUUAAUUGGAGGCCAGUGAAUGGCAACACGAAAAACCCCUGUAUCACGUAUAUUAAUAAAACUUUAUUUUUGGGUGAAAAAGCCCAAAUAAUUGAGGAAGACAAAAAGACCCCGCGGAGCUUUACUUUGUCAAGCCAAACAAAUCUGCUAGAUCGGUUAUGCUAAUAAGUUUGGUUGGGGCAACCCUGGAACCACUAAAGCUUCCAGUAUUAACCAAGAAGCACAUAAAAAACAUCUUCGGACUAAAAAGAAGUUACCCCGGGGAUAACAGCGUAAUCCAACUUGAGAGUCCGCAU
rnacentral:rRNA from 1 species